CAGUAGCCGCGGUAAGACGGAGGGUGCUAGCGUUGUUCGGAAUCACUGGGCGUAAAGGGCGCGUAGGCGGCCUGUUAAGUCGGAUGUGAAAGCCCGGGGCUCAACCCCGGAACUGCAUCCGAGACUGGCAGGCUUGAGACCGGGAGAGGAGGGUGGAAUAUCCAGUGUAGAGGUGAAAUUCGUAGAUAUUGGAUGGAACACCGGUGGCGAAAGCGGCUCUCUGGCCCGGAUCUGACGCUGAGGCGCGAAAGCGUGGGGAGCAAACAGGAUUAGAUACCCGAGUAGUCCCUGUCUCUUAUAC
rnacentral:rRNA from 1 species